rnacentral:misc_RNA from 1 species
UACGGAGGAUCCAAGCGUUAUCCGGAAUCAUUGGGUUUAAAGGGUCCGUAGGCGGGUUAGUAAGUCAGUGGUGAAAGCCUGGAGCUUAACUGUAGAAUUGCCAUUGAUACUGUUGACCUUGAGUAAUUAUGAAGUGGUUAGAAUAUGUAGUGUAGCGGUGAAAUGCAUAGAUAUUACAUAGAAUACCGAUUGCGAAGGCAGAUCACUAAGAAUUUACUGACUCUGAGGGACGAAAGCGUAGGUAGCGAACAGG